rnacentral:rRNA from 1 species
UACGUAGGGGGCCAGCGUUGCUCGGAAUUACUGGGCGUAAAGGGUUCGUAGGUGGUGCGGCAAGUUGGAAGUGAAAUCUCUGGGCUUAACUCAGAGGCUGCUUUCAAAACUGCCGUGCUCGAGUGCGGGAGAGGCCGGUGGAAUUGCAGGUGUAGCGGUGAAAUGCGUAGAUAUCUGCAGGAACACCCGUGGCGAAAGCGGCGAGCUGGAUCACUACUGACGCUGAGGAACGAAAGCUAGGGGAGCAAACAGG